rnacentral:rRNA from 1 species
UACAGAGGGUCUCAAGCGUUGUUCGGAUUCAUUGGGCGUAAAGGGUGCGUAGGCGGCGCGGUAAGUCGGGUGUGAAAUCUUGGAGCUUAACUCCGAAACUGCAUUCGAUACUGCCGUGCUUGAGGACUGGAGAGGAGACUGGAAUUUACGGUGUAGCGGUGAAAUGCGUAGAUAUCGUAAGGAAGACCAGUGGCGAAGGCGGGUCUCGUGGACAGUUCC